ensembl:lncRNA
GCUGAACAUAAUGAGGAUCACCAUCAGGCUAGCCUUGGAGGAAGCCCCUAAAGCAUUCAACCCAAGGCCUGGUUCUUUACCCAGCCUUCCCCUCCCAUGGUGCCUGUGAAGAUUCCAGCAUCAUGAGAAGCCCAAAAGAACACAGGAAAAGACAAACAGAAGAUCCUUAAGGAACAUACAAGUUGGAUCAGGCAUCAGGCAGAGGUCAAUCUGCCAUCGCUGAAGGAAAAGGAACAGAGAAGCUGCUUGAGAGUGAAGCCAACACAGAAGAAAACAGUGGAAAAGAUGGACAGAAACCACUGACAUUAUAUAAAC